UACGGAGGAUCCGAGCGUUAUCCGGAAUUAUUGGGUUUAAAGGGUGCGUAGGCGGCUUUUUAAGUCAGCGGUGAAAUUUUGCAGCUUAACUGUAACAGUGCCGUUGAUACUGGGGAGCUAGGAUUUGGUUGCUGUGGGUGGAAUGUGUGGUGUAGCGGUGAAAUGCUUAGAGAUCACACAGAAUAUCGAUUGCGAAGGCAGCUCACAAAGCCAAGAUUGACGCUGAGGCACGAAAGUGUGGGGAUCAAACAGGAUUAGAUA
rnacentral:rRNA from 1 species